rnacentral:rRNA from 1 species
UACGUAGGGGGCAAGCGUUGUCCGGAUUUCUUGGGCGUAAAGAGCGUGUAGGCGGCUUUACAGGUCCGUUGUGAAAACUCGAGGCUCAACCUCGAGACGCCGGUGGAAACCGUAAAGCUAGAGUCCGGAAGAGGAGAGUGGAAUUCCUGGUGUAGCGGUGAAAUGCGCAGAUAUCAGGAAGAACACCCGUGGCGAAGGCGGCUCUCUGGGACGGUACUGACGCUGAGAUGCGAAAGCGUGGGGAGCGAACAGG